CUUAAAUGAAUUGACGGGACCCGCACAAGCGGUGGAUGAUGUGGUUUAAUUCGAUGCAACGCGAAAACCUUACCACCUUUGACAUGGCAGGAAUCCCGAAGAGAUUUGGGAGUGCUCGAAAGAGAACCUGCACACAGGUGCUGCAUGGCUGUCGUCAGCUCGUGUCGUGAGAUGUUGGGUUAAGUCCCGCAACGAGCGCAACCCUUGCCAUUAGUUGCUACGAAAGGGCACUCUAAUGGGACUGCCGGUGACAAACCGGAGGAAGGUGGGGAUGACGUCAAGUUCUCAUGGCCCUUAUAGGUGGGGCUACACACGUCAUACAAUGGCCGGUACAGAGGGUAGCCAACCCGCGAGGGGGAGCCAAUCCCACAAAGCCGGUCGUAGUCCGGAUCGCAGUCUGCAACUCGACUGCGUGAAGUCGGAAUCGCUAGUAAUCGCGGAUCAGCAUGUCGCGGUGAAUACGUUCCCGGGUCUU
rnacentral:rRNA from 1 species